AAUACAUGUAAAUGAUCAUAUAUCAUGUUCAUCCAUGUCAGUUGUUAAAUUUUAAUUAGGAAUACAAUUAAGCUUUUAAUAUCUCGUCUCAAAGCUGAAAACAUUAGAAUCGUGGAUAUUUAGAUCAAGGAGGAGAUCUUCAUUAUUCUUAAGAUUAAUCUAAUCUUUAGUUUGUGUCCAGAAGAGAGAAUCAAAUUCAACUAAUCGAGUGGUGUAGGCAGAAUCCUGAACAGCCAAUCAAAAGCCAGGAAAUUUGAAAUUUUUGUCUGCCCUUUGUUGACAGAACUCUCUUUUGUCGGAUUAUAGUAGGGAUAUUUAAAAAGAUUAAAAGUGUCCACAUUAGAUAUUCAGAUUAAGCGAUCAGGAUUAAGUUACCAGCUCAGUACAGUAAUUUCAUGUUCAAAUAAAUUAUUUAAGCAUAUAAUUUAAUUUUAUCAAAGAUUAAAAUGGAGAUUCUUUGUGAAUAUUCAUAAAUUCACGAAUCUAACAGUUUUGAGUAAUGUUGCUCUUUGUUCUUUUCUUUCUUAUAAACUGGAGCUCACAAGUUAACUGCAGAAGCCAGGACUACUGGAGCGAUGAUUACUUAGGAGGGAGGAUGUGCAACUGUGUAUGGAGAACUUAAUGAUUCUCAGGGAAGGAGACCUCGAUGUAAGAACUAUGGAACUACUCUACCAAUCUCUACUACAGAUUGAAGAGACAGUUUCGAAGAUAAAGGCUGUCAAGAAUCCGACUCUUUGAACUUUGCCAUGCAGACUUGGUAUCCAGGAUAUAGGGUAUCUGGGAACUAAUGGAGUUGAACCUGCAGAUUAUGUUUUUGUUGUGGAAACUGAACAGGCAGAGGCAGUUGUUGGGGCACAGAUCAACCUCAGGAUCAACAGCAAUACCAGCAAGGAACUGAAUGAAUCCUGUCUAGAAAAGUUGAAAGUAUCCACCAAGUGUCAGACCUGGAUAGAUCAGAGUUCUGAAGUCGAAAUUAAAGGUCUGAUGUUGGCAGAUGGACACUCCAAGAUUAUCUUCUCAUUUCUUCCUCAGAAAGGAGGACUGUAUACUGUAUCGGGUGUGUUUGCUCGAGCACCAUAUAUCAGGGGGUCCAUGUACACUCCCCAUAAGUCUCUACACUGUACAGCAACCAUCACAUGUACAACUCUCUCGGCUUAAAUGUGACAGCUUAACAUCUACUCCAAUCAAAGCGAAUCCUGGAUCAGCAUCAACCAGUGGCGGAAUCGCGACUGAAAGUGGAGAUUCCUGUACAACAAAGGUAAAUCCUGGUUUAUCAGACACUGGUCAGAGACUCCUUUCAUCAACCUUGAACACAUCCUUGUCCUUCAAUAAGAGACUGGAGGUGGUGCACGAGAUGGAGAUCCUGGAGGUAAAGAAUGAGGAUUUAUCUAUGUCUGGAAAUAAUUCAGCUCAGGUUCAUACAAAGCAUCCUGAAGAAGCAAGUUCCUCUGGACUUCCCGAGAUAUUUUCUCCAGUAGCGAUUGUCUCUUCUGAUCAAGAUAAACAUCAAGUAGAUCACAGCGCUGCUCUUGUAGAUGAUAGGUCUGGAGGAGCUAGACCUUAAACCUCCCAGAGUACAUCUAGCAGUGAAACUAGCUCUCCGGGUGUGUCUGUGCUGCUUCCUGGAACUAAGAUCCUGGCAAGGUCCACUUCAAAACCUAGAAUGCAGGAACUAUAGUUGAGGAGGUGAAGAAGGAAUGUUUCUUAGUCGAGUUCCCAGACUCAGGGCAAGAGACCAUUAGGCAGAAGUAUAUAGUGACCAGUAUACAGGAUGUUCCAGCAGAUGAAAUUGUUCAUCCUCAAGCAUUCUCUAGGUUUUCUAAUUCCAUAGAGGAGAUACUGGCAGAAACAUCAUCUAUUCCAAAUGAUCUACAGGUUGGAGAACAUGCGAUUGCGCGCUGGAACAUGGAUCAAACCUGGUAUAAUGCUGAAUUCUUGAAGAUAGAGAAGAACUCCUGCACAGCUCUUUUCACCAGCUAUGGGAACCAGGAAAUUAUAAACCAUGUCGUUAGAUGUGUAGAUCUAAUCCCUAAGGAAGAUUUUAUUGAUGAACAUGUUCUGGUAACCAAACCUGUACCUAAACUCGACUCUCAGGAGACUCAUAUAGCCAAGGAAGCUCUGGCAAUGGGAGCUGCCCAAGAUAAUGGAGCUGCUGAGCAAAAAGAUAUUCUUGAACACGCAGAAUUUGUUCUUGCAAAGUGGACUGAGGACAACACAUAGUACAGAGCACAGAUUCUGACCAGAGAGGAAAAUUCAUGUACCGUCAUGUUCUAUGACUAUGGGAACACAGAUAGCGUGGUGAGGUCAAAUAUUGUUCUAACGCCGUGCAAGAUACCAGCAGCUGAUCUAAAGGAUGAAAAUAUUGAAAGCCAACCCACAGAAGUAACUUCAUCACAUGAGACUCAACUUAAAAAGAUUAUUGAUUCUGUUAAGGAACUCGUACAGUUGGAAGCUGAUCUGAAAGAAGGAGAUCUGGUGCUAGCCAAAUGGGCUGAGGACAGAACAUGGUACAGAGCACAGAUCCAGUCCACUGCUCUUGAUACAGUUACAGUCCUGUUCUAUUAUUACGACAAUGCAGAUAUUGUUGACAAAUCCAGUAUUGUUUACAAGGAGUCUGACAUCCCUCCCUCUGAUUUAAAGGAUGAAAUCUUGGGUUGGAAAUCCAACAGGUUCCCAAAGACACGAGUGUUGCUGUAGAUUCAACCCCUAAUGCUUCUUCUACAACAGAAGCACAAGAAUCAAAGAAUUCGGAAGUACUGUCCAGUGCUGAAACCUCUGUCUCCAGAGUACCUAUAGAUGAAGCCUCGCUACAGAAACAAGGCAACCAUGUGUUUUCAAAAUGGGGAGAAGAUCAAACUUGGUACAGAGCUAUAGUAACAUCUUUGUCAGCAGAUAAGGUUUCUGUUCUCUUCAUUGAUUAUGGAAAUACAGAUACAGUUGAUUUAAAUUCAGUACACCUUGAUAGCUCCAGUAUUCCCGAGUUGGAGGAGAAGGAUGAGAAUGUUUAUCUUGGAUUCUCUAAUGUAUCUGGUAGUAGCACAGACCAGUGCUCUCCUACCUCCCCUCUCAACCAGCAGAUGCAUUCUUACAAGGUUGGGGAUAAGGUAUUUGCUCAAUGGUCUGAAGAUGUAACCUAGUAUAGAGCUCUGGUUACAGGUUUCCAUGAAUCAAAAUACAAGGUUCAGUUUAUAGAUUAUGGAAAUGAAGAUGUCGUCAUUCCAGAAUGCAUUCAAAAUGAUUGCCAGAAAAUACCUUCUGGGGAUAGAUUUGACAAGAAUCUGUACUUUGGUCUUCAUUUGGACACUGCUCUGAAGGGAGGAGUUCCAAAGCAGCUACAGUUUGAUCUUGAGAAGGAAACUAAACCUCACACCAAGUCUCUAAAGGAAAUUAACAACAAUCUCAAGAUGGAGACUUCUGUAACCUCAAAGCUACAAGUCAAUGAUGCCAUUGAAAGUAAACCUCUUGAAAACAAGAAGACUCCGCCAACUUCUGAAACUAAAUCUCAGAAGAUAUUAGUAAACAGUAACGUAAAUGCUUUGAACAGUUCAACCCAGCAGGUCUUCUUUUUCCUGAUGCUGAGGCAACAGUUGGAAUAGUGUCAAACACAACUUGUUUGGUAAAAUGUUAUAAACAACUGAAUGCAAUGCCUUAUUGAAAUCUGUAGAUUUGACCUUUUCAAAUUUUUUCAUUACAAUUAACACAUUUGAUACUGAUUAAUUGUAUCACAGUUCUCAGGAGAUCAGACCUUCAGCAAUUAGAUGUUUAAGCAUGGACACUUGCUUGGUAAGCAACAAUUUUUUUUCGCAGUGACAAACUGAAGUCUAAAACUAAAGAUUGAGCAGGUUCAAAUUAGUUUUUGUAAACUUAAGAGUAGCUGGAAGAAGGUAGGGGGGAGAAGGUGGAGGUAAAAGGGUGAAGGGAAGAAGGUAUGAGAGAACACAGUGGAGGAAAAAAGGUGGAUGAAAGAGGGUGGGAAGGUGGAAGGAAGAAGGAGGUGGGAGAAGGUGAGAAUUUGUUGACCUCAUUAAGAGCAAGCUGAUUUAAUAUAAUGUAAUUCUUCAUAAUUACACCUUAAGCAUAGGUAGACUUUCCUUUAUACAUAUGAUUAAAACAUAAUUAGCACAUAAUUUCACAUAAUGCUUAUGCUUAAGUGUAUUUCCCAUUAUAGCCUGAAUGGUGACUACAACCUCGACCAAAUCUGACCAAAGUGGAUUGGUCAGGUUAAGACCAGUAUGAGACCAGUUAGGUAACUCAACCUAACCUGACCAACCUGACCAAACACAACCUGGGAGACUGGCCAUGUUUCGACCAGUUUGGUAAUCUGACGUAACCUGACCUAACCUGACCUAACACAACCUAAGGGGACUGGUCAUAUUGCGACCAAUUUGGUAAUCUAACAUAACCCGACCUAACCUGACCUAUCUCAACCUAAUGGGACUGGUCGCGUGACGUCGCUGGUUUCUAGGGAUCCGACAUGCAUAAAGUUGUGCAUCUUCUUUAAACAUUUUAUAUGUGCGUCUAGAAUGUUGCUGAGACCUACUCAGAUUGUAUGAAACGAAAAUAUCCCAGUAUCAGGUAAACUUAGAGAUUGAAUUCAUAGACCUUAAACCUUAUGACCUGAGCAAGAUAUGCACACUCUUGUUAAAAAAAUUCAGAAAUACUUAUCAAACACAAAUAUAGACUUUUUGUGCAAAAAGUUUAAGCAAGCUA
rnacentral:misc_RNA from 1 species